rnacentral:rRNA from 1 species
AUUGAACGCUGGCGGCAGGCCUAACACAUGCAAGUCGAGCGAGCGGCGGACGGGUGAGUAAUGUCUGGGAAACUGCCUGAUGGCGGGGGAUAACUACUGGAAACGGUAGCUAAUACCGCAUACCAUCAGCUUUGCCCAGAUGGGAUUAGCUAGUAGGUGGGGUAAUGGCUCACAUAGGCGACGAUCCCUAGCUGGUCUGAGAGGAUGAACAGCCACACUGGAACUGAGACACGGUCCAGACGCCUACGGGAGGCAGCAGUGGGGAAUAUUGCACAAUGGGCGCAAGCCUGAUGCAGCCAUGCCGCGUGUAUGAAGAAGGCCUUCGGGUUGUAAAGUACUUUCAGCGGGGAGGCGUUACCCGCAGAAGAAGCACCGGCUAACUCCGUGCCAGCAGCCGCGGUAAUAC